GACGAACGCUGGCGGCGUGCCUAAUACAUGCAAGUGGGACGCAAGGAAACACACUGUGCUUGCACACCGUGUUUUCUUGAGUCGCGAACGGGUGAGUAACGCGUAGGUAACCUGCCUAUUAGCGGGGGAUAACUAUUGGAAACGAUAGCUAAUACCGCAUAAUAUUAAUUAUUGCAUGAUAAUUAAUUGAAAGAUGCAAGCGAAUCACUAGUAGAUGGACCUGCGUUGUAUUGGCUAGUUGGUAAGGUAAGAGCUUACCAAGGCGAAGAUACAUAGCCCACCUGAGGAGGGGGUCGGCCACCCUGGGACUGAGACACCGCCCAGACUCCUACGGGAGGCAGCAGUAGGGAAUCUUCGGCAAUGGACGGAAGUCUGACCGAGCAACGCCGCGGGAGUGAAGAAGGUUUUCGGAUCGUAAAGCUCUGUUGUAAGUCAAGAACGUGUGUGAGAGUGGAAAGUUCACACAGUGACGGUAGCUUACCAGAAAGGGACGGCUAACUACGUG
rnacentral:rRNA from 1 species